rnacentral:tRNA from 1 species
UCCCGUGUGGCUCAGUUGGUAGAGCAUGGCACUUACAAUACCAGGGUUGUGGGUUCGAUUACCACAGGGGAC